GACGAACGCUGGCGGCGUGCUUAACACAUGCAAGUCGAACGAAGUGGCGAACGGGUGAGUAACGCGUAAUCAACCUGCCCUUCAGAGGGGGAAAAAAGUUGGAAACGACUGCUAAUACCGCAUACUGAAGGAGGGGAUGGCGUGUGAUUAGCUAGUUGGAGGGGUAACGGCCUACCAAGGCGAAGAUCAGUCGCCGGGUUGAGAGGAAGAACGGCCACAAGUGGAAUGAGACAAGGCCCAGAAUCCGUCGGGAGGCAGCAGUGGGGAAUCUGCCGCAAUGGACGAAAGUCUGGCGGAGCAACGCCGCGUGAGUGAUGACGGCCUUCGGGUUGGAAAGCUCUGUUAAUCGGGACGCGGUACCGGAAUAGAAAGCCACGGCUAACUACGUGCCAGCAGCCGCGGUAAUUC
rnacentral:rRNA from 1 species